rnacentral:tRNA from 1 species
UCCCUGGUGUCUAGUGGCUAAGACUCUGCACUCCCAAUGCAGAGGGCCUGGGUUGGCUCCCUGGUCAGGGAA